UACGGGGGGGCAAGCGUUGUUCGGAAUUACUGGGCGUAAAGGGCUCGUAGGCGGCCAACUAAGUCAGACGUGAAAUCCCUCGGCUUAACCGGGGAACUGCGUCUGAUACUGGAUGGCUUGAGUUUGGGAGAGGGAUGCGGAAUUCCAGGUGUAGCGGUGAAGUGCGUAGAUAUCUGGAGGAACACCGGUGGCGAAGGCGGCAUCCUGGACCAACACUGACGCUGAGGAGCGAAAGCCAGGGGAGCAAACGGG
rnacentral:rRNA from 1 species